rfam:Ictidomys tridecemlineatus contig144350, whole genome shotgun sequence.
GUGGUUGUGGCUCAGUGGUAGAGCACUUGCCUGGCAUGUGUGAGGCACUGGAUUCAAUCCUCAGCACCACA